UGAGGAAUAUUGGACAAUGGGCGCAAGCCUGAUCCAGCAAUGCCGCGUGCAGGAUGAAGGCCUUCGGGUUGUAAACUGCUUUUUUACGGAGCGAAAAGGUCUUCCCUAAUACGGUGGGCUCAUUACGGUACCGUAAGAAUAAGCACCGGCUAACUACGUGCCAGCAGCCGCGGUAAUACGUAGGGUGCGAGCGUUAAUCGGAAUUACUGGGCGUAAAGCGUGCGCAGGCGGUUAUAUAAGACAGAUGUGGAAUCCCCGGGCUCAACCUGGGACCUGCAUUUGUGACUGUAUAGCUAGAGUACGGUAGAGGGGGAGGGGAUUCCGCGUGUAGCAGUGAAAUGCGUAGAUAUGCGGGGGAACACCGAUGGCGAAGGCAAUCCCCUGGACCUGUACUGACGCUCAUGCACGAAAGCGUGGGGAGCAAACA
rnacentral:rRNA from 1 species